rnacentral:rRNA from 1 species
UACGGAGGGGGCCAGCGUUGUUCGGAAUCAUUGGGCGUAAAGGGCGCGUAGGCGGCUUGGUAAGUCCGUUGUGAAAUCCCUCGGCUCAACCGAGGAACUGCGACGGAUACUGCUUGGCUUGAGUCCCGGAGAGGGUAGCGGAAUUCCCAGUGUAGCGGUGAAAUGCGUAGAUAUCUGGAGGAAUACCGGUGGCGAAGGCGGCAUCCUGGACCGGCAUUGACGCUGAGGAGCGAAAGCCAGGGGAGCAAACGGG